GGCAGAGUGGUUUAGUGGUUUAAGUGUUAGACUAUAACUCUGGAGACCAGGGUUCAAUUCCUCUUUGGCC